rnacentral:lncRNA from 1 species
UACUUUUGUUCAUAGAUAUCCCUUAGACUGUUUUUGAUCUGCUGCCUUUUACGUUUGCUGAUGACCUGCAAUCAGCACCAGCUAUGUAUUUGAAUUGAUGAUUUAUGACUAUUAUGUGCUUGUUACAGUAGCCUUUAAAUUCACCUUCUGCUCUAUUCACCUCAUUAACUAACCUUCUACUGAAUCUGCUAGCUGUUAUAUUAAUGAAACAUGUACUUUUGUUCAUAGAUACCCCUUAGACUGUUUUUGAUCUGCUACCUUUUACGUUUGCUGAUGACCUGCAAUCAGCACCAGCUAUGUAUUUGAAUUGAUGGUUUAUGACUAUUAUGUGCUUGUUACAGUAGCCUUUAAAUUCACCUUCUGCUCUAUUCACCUCAUUAACUAACCUUCUACUGAAUCUGCUAGCUGUUAUACACCAAAUUUUGCAGAACACCUUUAUCAAAACCUGUUCAAGCUUUCCCCUGCACAUAGCUCUCUUACUAAAUAUCAUACCUACUAUUAUGAGUUCCUCUUACUCUGAAGCUAAAGCUCACACUUCGUGUAUCCAUUAGCUUUAAAUUGUGUAGCUGUGCAGGCUUAAAUUCAUUUCCAGAGGCACA